rnacentral:rRNA from 1 species
CCUACGGGCGGCAGCAGUGAGGAAUAUUGGUCAAUGGGCGGGAGCCUGAACCAGCCAAGCCGCGUGAGGGAAGAAGGUACAGCGUAUUGUAAACCUCUUUUGUCAGGGAACAAAGGCGGGGACUAGUCCCCGGAUGAGGGUACCUGAAGAAAAAGCAUCGGCUAACUCCGGGCCAGCAGCCGCGGUAAUACGGAGGAUGCGAGCGUUAUCCGGAUUUAUUGGGUUUAAAGGGUGCGCAGGCGGCCUGUUAAGGCAGCGGUAAAAGCUCGGGGCUCAACCCCGGCGAGCCGUUGAAACUGGCGGGCUGGAGUGGGAGAGAAGUACGCGGAAUGCGCGGUGUAGCGGUGAAAUGCAUAGAUAUCGCGCAGAACCCCGAUUGCGAAGGCAGCGUACCGGCGCCACACUGACGCUGAGGCACGAAAGCGUGGGUAUCGAACAGGAUUAGAUACCCGGGUAGUC